rnacentral:lncRNA from 1 species
UGAUUCUAAUGACGCCACAACCUAAACAAUUCAUUAAGGUUGUGUUCACUUCAUGUAAUGGAAUGAGGGGAGAAUGGAAUGAAAAAUUAUAUAGAAUUUUUAAGGAGAAAGAAGAAAGUAUGAGAUAAUGGUGACAAUAUAUGAAUGUAGUUAAUUUUUUUGUGAGAAAGAUUGUGAAGAAACAUGAUGUUGAAAUGGAAUGAGCAUUCCUUCCAAAACAUGUGGGUUAGAGUUAUAGUUGAAAUAGUAAGGUCGGAAUGAUUGAAGGAAUGAAAAUUAUAUACAUUUUCUUUGAUAAACACCAUUUUAGAGUACAAAAUUCAUUCCAUUCUCCCUCCAUUCCAUUCACUCCAAGUAAACACAGCCUAAAGUGAUUGCGUAAUUGCUAGCGAGUAAACAAGAAACAAGACCAGUAAGUGAAGCAAAUAUGUCAAGUAUUUGUCGGAAACAACUUAAACAAAGACAAGAAAGUAACACCAAAUAAAUUUCAAUAACUCGCAAACUGUGAACAAAUUGAGUGCAAUUACUCUGUGAUAUCUUCAUGAAAGAAAACAUAUCUAUACCAAAGAUUACAAAUCAUAGCUUAACUGAGAUUCUUAACAGAGUCAGCAAACAGGGACAUAAACAAUUACAAAUUCAUCAACCAAUUAGACAAGCAACUUAAAAAGACUCGCCUUACCAUGAAAUAAACAUCAGCUCUUGAAAAUAUGGGCAUACAAAACCAACUGACCUUCUCGCAGCUGAAUUAUAGAAAAUAUCUCCUCAUUUGUAGUAGGCUCCAAUUUGCGAUCUGUUCUUACCUAGCAAGCAACUGAAGAUAAAUUCUAAAAACCUCGAUUAAUAGGCUGUUAAUUCGUU